rnacentral:snoRNA from 1 species
UGGAUCGAUGAUGACUACUGGUGGCGUAUGAGUCAUGGACAAUGAAUAUGUGUCUGGAACUCUGAGGUCCAA